rnacentral:rRNA from 1 species
GGGGAACCAGGACUUUUACUUUGAAAAAAUUAGAGUGUUCAAAGCAGGCCUUUGCUCGAAUACGUUAGCAUGGAAUAAUAGAAUAGGACGUGCGGUCCUAUUUUGUUGGUUUCUAGGACCGCCGUAAUGAUUAAUAGGGAUAGUCGGGGGCAUCAGUAUUCAAUUGUCAGAGGUGAAAUUCUUGGAUUUAUUGAAGACUAACUACUGCGAAAGCAUUUGCCAAGGAUGUUUUCAUUAAUCAGUGAACGAAAGUUAGGGGAUCGAAGACGAUCAGAUACCGUCGUAGUCUUAACCGUAAACUAUGCCGACUAGGGAUCGGGCGAUGUUUCUAUCUUGACUCGCUCGGCACCUUACGAGAAAUCAAAGUUUUUGGGUUCUGGGGGGAGUAUGGUCGCAAGGCUGAAACUUAAAGAAAUUGACGGAAGGGCACCACCAGGGGUGGAACCUGCGGCUUAAUUUGACCCAACACGGGGAAACUCACCAGGUCCAGACACAGUGAGGAUUGACAGACUGAGAGCUCUUUCUUGAUUCUGUGGGUGGUGGUGCAUGGCCGUUCUUAGUUGGUGGAGUGAUUUGUCUGCUUAAUUGCGAUAACGAACGAGACCU